UCAAAAACAUGUCCUAUUGAUAAUAAUUUUAGGUCUGACCCGCCCCCUGAUAAGGAUUAAAUGGCCGCGGUAUUUUGACCGUGCUAAGGUAGCAUAAUCAUUAGUUUUUUAAUUGAAAGCUAGAAUGAAUGGUUGGAUGAAAAAAAUUCUGUCUCUAUUUAAUUUUAAUUAUAAUUUUAUUUUUUAGUUAAAAAGCUAAAAUUUUUUUAAAAGACGAGAAGACCCCAUAGAGUUUUAUAAUUUAUAAUAUUAAAAUUUAUUAGAAUUAAAUUUUUUUUUAUUUUAUAUUAUUUAAUUGGGGUGAUUGAAAAAUUAAAUUAACUUUUUCUAUUUUAUGUACAUUGAUUUAUGAAUAAUUGAUCCAUAUUUUAUGAUUAUAAGAUUAAAUUACCUUGGGGAUAACAGCGUAAUGUUUUCAAAGAGUUCUAAUCGAAGAAAAAGAUUGCGACCUCGAUGUUGGAUUAAAAUUUACUUUGGGUGCAGAAGCUUGAAAGUUGGGUCUGUUCGACCCUUAAAAUUUUACAUGAUCUGA
rnacentral:rRNA from 1 species